rnacentral:misc_RNA from 1 species
AAUGAAUACAGUAUUUUUCAUUAAUAUAAUACAAAAACACAUAGCAUAAUCCAAAAUAACACUUAAUUACAAAGAGGAACUGAAACUUCUUGCACAUUUUGUUGUCCCCAAAAUAAAGAACAUCAAUUCCCACAAACCAACACCAAGUUCAUGACAACAACAAAAGUAACUCCAAAUUUGUAAUAUUAAACAUAUGACAAUACAUCCCCAAGAUUAACGUUGCUUUUUCUUUUUUCCUUUAACUCCUUUUUUUUUUUUUUUCAAG